UUUAACAUGUGUUUUCCCGAGGACGUGAGGACAACGGUCCAUACGUUAAAAGGGCUAAUAUUAAACUACAGAACUAAGCCAACUUCAGCGCGAGCUUAAAGUAUGGCAACUUGGUUUGAACUUUGAACUCUUAUACACUAAAGAAGUGAUACCUCCUAGCCGUUGAGUGAGCAGCAGCAGCUGUAAACGUGGGCUAGGAAAGGACGGACAAACUAUCUCUUCUACCAAACACACGACGGUACUACAACGCAUCCGUUCUACCAGACAUUCUUCAGAGGACAGGAAGAUCUCUGUUGGGCAACACGGCCUUCCAUCUACGACCAACCUAUUGAAGCACAGCUCAGAGCCGCACCAGUCUGCCGAGGAAGAGGAUGGAGUUGGUCUUGGUGUCCUUCACCAGGAAGAUGAAGGGAUGGUCAGCGUAGAACAGCUUGGGGUUCUUCAGCUUGUCUGUGCCGAAGAUGCUUCUGUCUAUGGGGUUCCCAUCGGUGUCCCACUCCAUGGCAGAGGCAUGGAAGACAUUGGACAGAUACAGGUCCUUCUUCCCAGAGAUGUUGGACAGGUCCGCCUUGGUCUUAUCCACAGCCUCAGUCAGACCCAGCUCCCCAAGGUGUUUCUGUGAGAGCGAGAGUGAGAGAGAGAGAGCGAGAGAGAUCUUUACUGUAAAGGAGUUUGAAGCAUGAAGGAACUCUCAGCCACCUAAGAGAAUCAGUGAUGUGAACUGUAUGCUAACAUGAACAGUUAAUAAAAUUAUUGUUAUUCAAA